GGACGAUGAGAUGAUCAUCAAGGAAACGAUGUGUGUGAUGCUCCUGACGAUUCAGUCCAGUCCUGCAUUUGAGAAGGUCGACUUUAAUCACUCGGAGAACAGCAUCUGAGAAAACAGAAAAGCAGAAAACAGAAGAUAAAAAGUUGCUUCAGGUCCUGUGAGUAAAAACAGCGGCCCCUGCAGUGAUGAAGGAAGAGAUGUCUCUUAUUUGACAAGUGGAAAAUUGCUGAUCAUCCCUGACCUGAACCUUAUGCUCCACCCAGAAGGCGUAUGAGAAAAAAAGGAGAAAUAGCCUAUAAUAGGACCAAUUAAAUCAAAAUGACCCGAAAUCAUUCAUCAUCAGUCCAGUCAUCAGUCCAGCACAUUUUUACAACAAUGACUCUACAAGGGCUUUAGCAAAUUGAUAUGACAUAACUAUAGUGUGUUUAGUCAUUCUGGUCCGACUAGACAGAAAACACUGAAAGGGCAUUCUAGAUGCAUAUAUUCAGAUCAAGACCACAGUCUCUUUCUCAUAUCUUUCUGGUGAUCAUACCUGUCAACAUUCCCAUUUUUUCCCCAUUUGUAUUUUACACCCAUCUCCUGU